UACGUAGGGGGCUAGCGUUGUCCGGAAUCAUUGGGCGUAAAGCGCGUGUAGGCGGUCCGGUAAGUCCGCUGUGAAAGUCGGGGCUCAACCCUCGAAUGCCGGUGGAUACUGUCGGGCUAGAGUGCGGGAGAGGCGAGUGGAAUUCUGGUGUAGCGGUGAAUGACGCAGAUAUCAGGAGGAACACCUGCGGUGUAGACGGCUUACUGGACCAUAACUGACGCUGAGGCACGAAAGCGUGGGUAGCAAACAGG
rnacentral:rRNA from 1 species